UGCUGAUUCUUAUCGACUCCACAUAAUCGAACGAUUAACAAUCCGUUCGUUCUUUGUCGUAUUACACGUAGCGUCGCUAACUUUCUGUUCCUUUCGUCGCGGGUUUCUAUGCAUCGCAUUAGAGAGAUCACUUUUAGAACUCGUCGAUUCAAAACCUCGAAAAGGGGUCAUCGAACGUAGAACAUGGAGUCGAGAACGCCGGAUCAAUCGAUGUUCCGACGUACGAAAAAGGGUUCCAUCGGUGGGAAAACAGCGAAUAUCGAAUCGUCGAUUAUCACCUUGCUCUUUGUCCUCGUUCCUGUAGGUAGGAUACGAAAAGAAAGUCAACCACCGAUUCGAACGGCGUGGAAAGUGUCGUUUGGUUCCGGGUACGACGACCCACCGAUCUUUCACGUAGUCUUCCACGCUAUUUACUUACGUACGACGCACGCUUCGCGACGCGCGGCAUCGGUUCAAACGAGACGAUAAUUGUCGAAGCUUGCUUGCGUCCUCUUUAGACACUUCAUUUCCUUACGCUGCCAAAUACAUACGUAAUUGUCUCUUUCAUCGUCUUUUUCUCUGUAAUUGUAAGUAAGUUGUACUACUUCCAUUUCUAUCCAGUACGAUAGUAGAUAUUUACAUAUUGGUAUAUCAGUUGCAUAAAAUAUGACAAAAUAACGCAAACGAGUGCGAUAUAUCUAUUACGUAAACUUACUAUUUAUUAGCAUAAUUAUUACAUGCGAAACGAUGGUCAUAAACUUACAUAUCAAAAUGAUUAACUAAUGCGGAUACAUAUUACGUAAAUGUAACUAUACAAAUAUAUUUAUAUCACAGUCGUAGACAAAGAAAUCAAUACGUUAGUCGAUAUCGAAGUUAUUUCGUACAUACAAUCAAAUGUUUAGAGAUCAUCACCGAAAAUCCCUAGUGAUUUGAAGCAGGCAAACACGUUCGAUAGUUAUUUCUCACCGAUAAAUGGAUUAACGGUAUGCUUGAACGCGAACAAUUUAAUUAUUCUCUUGAUAUUCCUUAUAUGAUACGCUUUAACGAUGACAACAACGACACUACGCGUCUUUGGAACAGAAAACAUAUUAUUUAACCACGCUUCUCCAUUCCUAUUUUUCUUAUCUUUCUCUUUUCUUUUUCCUUCUCUCUUCCAUAAUUUUUUCCACACUCUAUUAAUCGAUGCCAAUAACGUUAAUAAACUCUGUCCAGCAGCAAAUGUCCCAUGUCGAAAAACGGUCAGUGGUAACGAUCAACGUCGAAUAACGAAGAUACGUGUUAACGCUAUUAUCAUCAUCAUGUCUAUGUUUAACGCGUUUUC
rnacentral:misc_RNA from 1 species